rnacentral:rRNA from 1 species
UGCCCGCAAGGGAAUGUAGUGAGGGGUGCUGCAUGGCUGUCGUCAGCUCGUGUUGUGAAAUGUUGGGUUAAGUCUCGCAACGAGCGCAACCCCUAUCGUCUGUUGCCAGCAUUAAGUUGGGCACUCUGACGAGACUGCCUGGGUUAACCAGGAGGAAGGUGGGGAUGACGUCAAGUCCUCAUGGCCCUUAUGUCUAGGGCUACACACGUAAUACAAUGGCGCGUACAAAGGGAAGCGAACCUGCAAAGGGGAGCAAAUCUCAAAAAGCGCGUCUCAGUUCGGAUUGGAGUCUGCAACUCGACUCCAUGAAGUUGGAAUCGCUAGUAAUCGGAGAUCAGCACGCUCC